UCCGUAGGUGGAUAAUUAAGUCAGAGGUGAAAGUUUGCAGCUCAACUGUAAAAUUGCCUUUGAUACUGGUUAUCUUGAGUUAUUAUGAAGUGGUUAGAAUAUGUAGUGUAGCGGUGAAAUGCAUAGAUAUUACAUAGAAUACCAAUUGCGAAGGCAGAUUACUAAUAAUAUACUGACACUGAUGGACGAAAGCGUGGGUAGCGAACAGGAUUAGAUACCCUGGUAGUCC
rnacentral:rRNA from 1 species